UGUGCGCAAGGGGAAGGAUUUGUUGCGCAAAUUCCCCAUUUUUGAGUGGUAAUGCGCAGAUUGGGCCUGUCAAAUGAGUUACCUCGUGGACCUUACUCCAUAAAGCUGUGCCAUUUUAUUAAAUGGUCAUUUAAGACCCCUUUUCUUCUAUUUCUUUUCCCCAAACGCAGCCCCCAUUUUAGAUCAAAAAAAUUCCAGUCUUCAAAAUCAAAUUUUUUUUUUUAGGGUUUCCUCCACUUGACUGCCAAGCCACCAUGAUUUUAGGUGAUUACCAGUAAGCGAGACAUGCUCAAUCUUGCCGUUAAGGGAACUCGACCAGAUCUAAAAGGAUUCGGUACGGAGCACGGGGCUGUGCGUUGGCACUCGGUUAUGGGUUCAGAGACUGGGGCGACGUGAGGCCGUGCGUUGGCCCUUGGCACGAGGGUAUGGGGCGAUGGCAGACAGUAUGGGCGAUUGAACUUGGGGGCUGAGAAGUUUUAGGACUAGUUGGGCUAUGGUUUAGUUUUGGGCUUGGGUAUAUUGGGCUGUUAUAUUUGUUUAUGGGCCCGGGCUAUAUUGGGUCUGUACAAUGUGAUAGUUGUAAAAUUGCUAUGAUAAUAAAUUUAAUUUUUAAAUAUUA